AUACUUCCCUGCCAGAGGAGAUAUCAUAAUCACGAUGGUGGCUUUCCCAGGACAAGGCAGAUCUAUUGAACUCUGGAUGUGCUGACCCCUGCGGUUUACCCAAAUGUGGGAAAUGCAGCUGCAUAAUUUGUGGAAGUGAAGGACUGUAUUUGCAUUUUCCCAUG
ensembl:snRNA U1 U1 spliceosomal RNA